rnacentral:rRNA from 1 species
AUUGAACGCUGGCGGCAGGCCUAACACAUGCAAGUCGAACGAGUGGCGGACGGGUGAGUAAUGUCUGGGAAACUGCCUGAUGGAGGGGGAUAACUACUGGAAACGGUAGCUAAUACCGCAUACCAUCGGAUGUGCCCAGAUGGGAUUCGCUAGUAGGUGGGGUAACGGCUCACCUAGGCGACGAUCCCUAGCUGGUCUGAGAGGAUGACCAGCCACGCUUGAACUGAGACAGGGUCCAGAGUACUACGGGAGGUAGCAGUGGGGAAUAUUGCACAAAGGGCGCAAGCCUGAUGCAGCCGUGCCGCGUGUAUGAAGAAGGCCGUCGGGUUGUAAAGUACUUUCAGCGGGGAGGCGUUACCCGAAGAAGAAGCACCGGCUAACUCCGUGCCAGCAGCCGCGGUAAUAC